CCUACGGGAGGCAGCAGUGGGGAAUUUUGCGCAAUGGGGGAAACCCUGACGCAGCAACGCCGCGUGCGGGAUGACGGCCUUCGGGUUGUAAACCGCUUUCAGUAGGGACGAAUUUUGACGGUACCUACAGAAGAAGCCCCGGCUAACUACGUGCCAGCAGCCGCGGUAAUACGUAGGGGGCGAGCGUUAUCCGGAUUCAUUGGGCGUAAAGCGCGCGUAGGCGGUCAUGUAAGCGGGACCUCUAAUCUUGGGGCUCAACCUCAAGCCGGGUUCCGAACUACAUGACUCGAGUGUGGUAGGGGAGG
rnacentral:rRNA from 1 species